rnacentral:lncRNA from 1 species
AUUCUAUAACCUACUUGCUAACCACUUGGCAUGUAUUAAAAUCUUAGCAUAUAUCAGGAGCACAUAAUUGAGGAAAUUACUACUAUCACCUCUCCACUUGUUCACUAAGGUCCUUCAACAAAACACUAGACAUGCACGGGUUCACACUUAUUUGGGAAUUUCCUACUACCAUGGAAUAAUUCAUUCACAUGGGUAUUUUAUCAACACACUAAGCACAAACUAACUCACAAUU